UACAGAGGGGGCAAGCGUUGUUCGGAAUUACUGGGCGUAAAGGGCGCGUAGGCGGCCUGUUAAGUCGAACGUGAAAUCCCCGGGCUCAACCCGGGAACUGCGUCCGAUACUGGCAGGCUUGAAUCCGGGAGAGGGAUGCGGAAUUCCAGGUGUAGCGGUGAAAUGCGUAGAUAUCUGGAGGAACACCGGUGGCGAAGGCGGCAUCCUGGACCGAUACUGACGCUGAGGAGCGAAAGCCAGGGGAGCAAACGGG
rnacentral:rRNA from 1 species